AACAUCGCGCACCUGCGGGAACCUGCGGAAGGAUCAUUACUGAGUCACGUGCUCAAACAACCCUUCUGUGGACCUGAAAUAAAACCGUUGCCUCGGCGGGCGGUCCCCCCCAAACCAACCCCACGUGGUGGGUUAGGGGAGACCAGACAGUCCGGUACGCUUAAGGCGUCCGGCGCCAGCCGCUGGCCCCAAACAAUUAAACUCUAGUAAUCUUUACCUUCUGAAUUUCAAUAUUUAAAA
rnacentral:misc_RNA from 1 species